rnacentral:rRNA from 1 species
AUUGAACGCUGGCGGCAGGCCUAACACAUGCAAGUCGAGCGGAUGAAGGGAGCUUGCUCCUGGAUUCAGCGGCGGACGGGUGAGUAAUGCCUAGGAAUCUGCCUGGUAGUGGGGGAUAACGUCCGGAAACGGGCGCUAAUACCGCAUACGUCCUGAGGGAGAAAGUGGGGGAUCUUCGGACCUCACGCUAUCAGAUGAGCCUAGGUCGGAUUAGCUAGUUGGUGGGGUAAAGGCCUACCAAGGCGACGAUCCGUAACUGGUCUGAGAGGAUGAUCAGUCACACUGGAACUGUAACACGGUCCAGGCUCCUACGGGAGGCGGCAGUCGGGAAUAUUGGACGAUGGGCGAUAGCCUGAUCCAGGCAUGCCGCGUGUGUGAAGAAGGUCUUCGGAUUGUAAAGCACUUUAAGUUGGGAGGAAGGGCAGUAAGUUAAUACCUUGCUGUUUUGACGUUACCAACAGAAUAAGCACCGGCUAACUUCGUG